UACGGGGGGGGCAAGCGUUGUUCGGAAUUACUGGGCGUAAAGGGCUCGUAGGCGGCCAACUAAGUCGGAUGUGAAAUCCCCAGGCUUAACCUGGGAACUGCAUCCGAUACUGGAUGGCUUGAAUCCGGGAGAGGGAUGCAGAAUUCCAGGUGUAGCGGUGAAAUGCGUUGAUAUCGGAAGGAACACCUGUGGCGAAAGCGAUGCACUGGACCUCUUCUGACGCUGAGGCGCGAAAGCCAGGGGAGCGAACGGG
rnacentral:rRNA from 1 species